GCAAACUUGGUCAUUUAGAGGAAGUAAAAGUCGUAACAAGGUUUCCGUAGGUGAACCUGCGGAAGGAUCAUUGCUGAUGCCGGCGACAGCUGCGCGGAUCCCUCGCGAGGGGGUGAAGCCUGCUGCCGCUUCAAACAUCAAUAUGCCCCUUUAGUGAACCUGGCAUUGGAGCGCCGAGCGCGAGUGAGCUUUGGGGCCCGCUCGCUUUCCCCGAUGUGCCCCCUCUCAGAAGGGGGCGAGCUUAGGGAUAGGUCUCCUCUGCCCAAAACAACCUGUCUUCUCUUAACCUGUACCCCAGACUGAAGCAAAAAAAACAAAAACAUUCUUACAACUUUUAACAAUGGAUAUCUUGGCUCGCGCAUCGAUGAAGAACGCAGC
rnacentral:misc_RNA from 1 species